rnacentral:lncRNA from 1 species
CACCUCUCACAUAAGAGUCUUAUACUUGCUCUGAACUAAACUUAUCUCUCAGACUCCAGCCUUAAAAUUCUCAUGUGCCCACCUCUUCUGUCCAGAGGAAGAGGGGGCAUGAGGUGGAAAAGUGUGCAUGUGGGAUUGUUGGGCCUAGAGGGAUGGAAUGGUUUCAAUUUCUGGUUCCGUGUCUCAUGGAAGCAGUUCAUUUUGAUUGUCAUCUUCCCCAGGGUCUGAAGAUGAGGCAUUCAUUGGCAUCAGUAUUCAAGAUUUAGCAGAAGUAUGUGCCUUUUUCAGACCCAGGAGUCUAAGCCCUGUAAGCUAAUAGCGCAAGGAUUAGUUCACAGGACAUUUGUACUGCAGAAAGUUCUAUUUCUCUCUCUCAUGUCACUGUGAUCUGCUGUCCAGUAGUUACUGCCUGCAGCACUUCAAACCAUUGUAUUAAAGUGGUUAGGAUAUUCCUUGCAUGUAACUAGUUGCCAGCAUUCUAAUGACAGAACUGUGAUCGAAAGCAUCAAAAAUGUGACAGAACCUAUGCUAAACUUUUCAAAGUAAGACAAUUAAAUUUUCUCUCCAUCAUUUAACAAAAUGCUAAAUGCAAAUAUCAGUUUUGGAAAUUCAGUAUGAGGAUAAAUAAUCUCCUUUUAUUUAAAUACUAUACAACAAAACAAGAACAAAGUGAGACUAAACACCCUGUCAUUUCUUUUCAGCUAUUUUAUUUUAUUUAUUUUGAGACAGAAUUUCCCUCUGUCACCCAGGUUGGGGUACAGUGGCAGGAUCUCAGCUCACUGCAGCCUCCACCUUCGAGUCCAAGGUUCAAUGGAUUCUCUUGCUCAGCCUCCCGAGUAGCUGGAAUUACAGGUGGGCACCACCAUGCCCAGCUGAUUUUUGUGUUUUUAGUAAAGACAGGGUCUCACCAUGUUGAACUCCUGGCCUUCAGUGAUCUGCCCACCUCGGCCUCUCAAAGUGUGGAAUUAUAGGAAUGAGCCACCACACCCAGCCUUCUUUUCAGCUAUUUUAAAAGAGCAUAAUCACAUAUUUCCAAGAUUGGUUUCUAGAUACAGUACUGAUUACUGAUUAGGUCACUUCCACCAUUAAAAUCUUCAAACCAGUGCAACAAUUGCACAUGUUUUGUUUUCAAGUACACACAUGAAGACCCAACAGUGAUACAAGGCUUGGGAUCAAAAAUCACUAGAAAUUCUCACAACCUGUUUGUAUUACCACUUCAUCCAAGUGAAUGUCACUUAAUUUUAAUAAUGGUAAACACAACUUAAGGAGGUUGAGAGAAAUCCAAUCAAUAUAAUAUCUGUAAGGACAAGGCCAAUCUUUCUGAACGUGGAAACUUUGUACCCACAUCACAGUUUUUCCUCAUUAGAGGAAAGGGUCUGCAACCAACUCAAAUGAUUGGUUGAAACCAACUCACAUUACUGAUUGCAUUGAAUGUGUAUCAAACCUCAGGCCAUGGAUGCCUGAGUCCUAGUGUUCCUGUGACAUCCCCUUGGGGUAGCGGAACUCUACCUUUCAAUGAUGGGAAGUCUUGGGCAAGAGCAAGUCUCCUCCCCUUGUCCAAUAUAGACAGUUUUUCUGUCUAACCCUACCUCAGCAGUUGCCCUAUCCCUGGGGCCAAGGGUUGGACGAGUUCCUAGCUCCAACAUCAGUGGUUGAUGCCUUUUGUUUUAUGUGAGAAGCAACCAGGUUUUGUGCCUGUACUCUGGUGGUGGUCGAUCAUGUGAUCAUGACUUUUAUGCCUACGCCACUGUGGCAAGCUUGAGAAAUCCUCUUUCCCUGCUACAUGUGUCUUGUCAGCACUAAGGACGUGGGAGGAAAGACCCAGCAAAUGGGCAAAACCAUGCUAUGUAUCUGGGACUCUCAGAGUUUCUAAUCUGUCACAAUAGUUCACACUUGGCCUUUAAGAAAUGAUGAAAUCUUCAGUGAUUUUCUACAGUGAACAUUUAUGGCUGCCAUCUUUUCCUUCCAUUAUCUGUCAAAGAUGAACUGCUUCAUGUGUUUGUCCUUCUAUAGGGGGUUUUCUCACGCUUUGGACUUCAGCUGACUCAGGGGCCUUGCGACUUCAGCUCUCUGGUGGGAUCAAAGCACGUAUGAUUUUGCAGACCAUACAGCUUUUUCUUUUCAUUAGAGUGGGAACAACUGUCUCUUACAGCUUUCUGCAUCUUAAACAACUGUUGAAUCACAUGUCUGUUUUAAAAAAUCCUUAUAUUUUCCUCUAUAUCUGGAUUAAUUUCCCUUCAGGAUACUAUACAAAUUCUGUUAGCUGAUCACUUCUUUUGAGGCUAUG